UAUUGCUCUUGGAUUAAUGGAAACAGAAUGAACUUAAAGUGCAAUUAUUGUGGACUUGAAAGAUGGGGAGGGAUAAAUCGAAUGAAACACCAUUUUUCGGGUGAUCAUGAUAAUGUGGCUCCUUGUACACAAUGUCCGGAUAAUGUGAGGGAACUUUGUAUUCAGAUCUUAGGAGAAUUAGAAAGACAAAAAGUGAAUGAAAAAGAAUAUUUCCAAGAAGAGAAAGAAGUUCAAAUGGUAGGAGGAAAAAGAAAAACUAGUAUGGAUGCCUUUGUCACUAAAGGUAAAGGGAAAGGAAAAGAGCAAACUUUAAAUGCAAUGGUUAAGAAAAGGGAGCCCGUUGUUCCUAGCAUUUGUAGAUUUUUGUAUGGACAUGCAUUGCCUUUUGUUUUGGUCAAAAGUCCCCUUUUUACUUCAAUGAUGGAAGCUGUUGGUGAAUAUGGCAAGGGUUUAAAACUUCCUAGUUAUCAUGAGGCUAGAGUUACAUUUUUGAAGAAGGAAGUUGACAAUGUAAACUCAAUGCUAGAGAAGUAUAAAAAGGAGUGGAAAAGGACCGGUUGUACUUUGAUGUCGGAUGGGUGGACGGAUAGGAAAAGUAGGUCUCUUACAAACUUUUUGGUGAACAGUCCAAGUGGAACAGUUUUUCUUAAAUUUGUUAACACUUCAGAUGUUAUAAAAGAUGCACAAAAAUUAUUUGAGUUGCUUGAUUCAUUAGUGGAGGAAAUUGGGGAGGAAAAUGUUGUUCAAGUGGUGACUGAUAGUGCUUCGGCCUACGUAGCUGCGGGUGACUUGUUGAUGGAGAAAAGAAAAAAAUUAUUUUGGUCUCCUUGUGCAGCACAUUGCAUUGAUUUGAUCUUGCAUGAUAUAGGUGGGUUGCCUAUUUUCACAGAUACAAUAAAGAAGGCUAAAGAAGUUUGUGUAUAUAUUUAUAGACAUGCUUGGGUCCUUAGCAUGUUUAGAAAGUUCUCUAAGAAGAGAGAGUUGAAGAGGCCGGGAGUUACAAGGUUUGCCACAUCAUUUCUUACAUUAAGGAGCUUUGAGGAAAACAAGAUUCCUCUUAGGGCUAUGUUUGCAUCGGAAGAGUGGGCUAAAAGUCAUUAUGCUUCUAAGGUGGAUGCAAUUAAAGUGGGAGCAAUCUUGUUAUCCGAUGACAAGUUUUGGAAAUCGGUCAAGUAUUGCUUGAAGUGUGUAAGUCCACUUGUUAAAGUUUUAAGGCUUGUUGAUGGAGAUGUGAAAUCGAUAAUGGGAUACAUAUAUGAAGCAAUGGAUAGGGCAAAGGAGAAAAUUGCACAAAAUUUCAACCAUCAAAAGAUAAAGUAUGAGCGCAUUUGGAACAUUAUUGAUACAAGAUGGGAUUUACAACUUCAUAGGCCACUUCAUGCAGCUAGAUAUUUUCUUAAUCCCAAGUGAGUUUCUAAAAUCAUGUUUCUAAUUUCCUAUAACCAACAGUUCCUUGUAUAUGCUUUAUUGUUUCUUACUUGUAUGCAUUUUUUCAAGGUUUCAAUAUGAUGAGUCUUUUAAUGCGGAUAUAGAAGUUGAAGUUGGUUUGUACAAGACAAUAGAAAAUAUGUAUCCGGAUAUUGAAACAAGACUCAAAAUGGAUGAGCAAUUAGAAAAGUUUAAAAAAGGAGAAGGAUUGUUUGGCAUGAGCAUGGCUACCUUAACAAGAGACAAGAAGCAACCGGCUUUAUGGUGGGAAAGCUAUGGGGAAGAAUGCAAAGAGUUACAAAACCUUGCCAUACGAGUUUUGAGUCUCACAUGUAGUGCUACUGGAUGUGAAAGAAAUUGGAGCACAUUUGAGCAUGACCAUUCCAAAAAGAGAAAUCAUUUGGAACAACAAAGAUUAAAUGCUCUUGUCUUUGUGAAGUAUAACAUUCAACUUGAAAUGAGGCAAGUUAAGAGGGAGAAAAAAGGUGAAAAUUAUGAUCCUAUUUGUUUGAGUGAUAUGGAGUCUGAUGAUGAAUGGAUCACCGAACAAGAAAACCCUUGUUUACCUGAGGAUAAUUCAUGGAUGGAUGCUAAUGAAUGCUUUGAAGAUGAUGGAGGUACUCAGCCAAGUAAUAAUAGAAGAGGGCCAAGGAAGUUGAAGCUAGAUAGAAAAGGAAAAGGAAAAGUUGUUGAAGACAAAGUGGAAGAAGAAUUGGAUUUAGAAAUGAUUGAUGACGAGGAAGAUGUAGAGGAUGGAGAGCAAGCAGAUUUGGCUACAUUUGAAGACAAAGAAGAUAAUGAAAAUGAUGAAGAUGAUGAUGCUCUUUAAUUUGAAGAUGAAUAUGAUUGAUAAUUAGUGAAGAUUAUGGACAAUGGAAUUUAUUAGUAGCCUAAUAGUUGUUUUUUUCUAGCUUGUUAUUUUGAAAGUGGUAUGAUUUGAUGCAAUUUGAAUAUAAAGGUAAUAUGAAUA